rnacentral:rRNA from 1 species
GAUGAACGCUGGCGGCGUGCCUAAUACAUGCAAGUCGAACGGACAGACGAGGAGCUUUCUCCUCUGACGUUAGCGGCGGACGGGUGAGUAACACGUGGAUAACCUACCUAUAAGACUUGGAUAACUUCGGGAAAACGGAGCUAAUACCGGAUAAUAUAUUGAACCGCAUGGUUCAAUAGUGAAAGACGGUUUUGCUGUCACUUAUAGAUGGAUCCGCGCCGCAUUAGCUAGUUGGUAAGGUAACGGCUUACCAAGGCAACGAUGCGUAGCCGACCUGAGAGGGUGAUCGGCCACACUGGAACUGAGACACGGUCCAGACUCCUACGGGAGGCAGCAGUAGGGAAUCUUCCGCAAUGGGCGAAAGCCUGACGGAGCAACGCCGCGUGAGUGAUGAAGGUCUUCGGAUCGUAAAACUCUGUUAUUAGGGAAGAACAAAUGUGUAAGUAACUAUGCACGUCUUGACGGUACCUAAUCAGAAAGCCACGGCUAACUACGUG